rnacentral:rRNA from 1 species
UACGUAGGGUGCAAGCGUUAAUCGGAAUUACUGGGCGUAAAGCGUGCGCAGGCGGUUUUGUAAGUCUGUCGUGAAAGCCCCGGGCUCAACCUGGGAAUUGCGAUGGAGACUGCAAGGCUCGAAUCUGGCAGAGGGGGGUAGAAUUCCACGUGUAGCAGUGAAAUGCGUAGAGAUGUGGAGGAACACCGAUGGCGAAGGCAGCCCCCUGGGUCAAGAUUGACGCUCAUGCACGAAAGCGUGGGGAGCAAACAGG